rnacentral:rRNA from 1 species
AGAGUUUGAUCCUGGCUCAGGACGAACGCUGGCGGCGUGCCUAAUACAUGCAAGUCGAGCGGACAGAUGGGAGCUUGCUCCCUGAUGUUAGCGGCGGACGGGUGAGUAACACGUGGGUAACCUGCCUGUAAGACUGGGAUAACUCCGGGAAACCGGGGCUAAUACCGGAUGCUUGUUUGAACCGCAUGGUUCAAACAUAAAAGGUGGCUUCGGCUACCACUUACAGAUGGACCCGCGGCGCAUUAGCUAGUUGGUGAGGUAACGGCUCACCAAGGCGACGAUGCGUAGCCGACCUGAGAGGGUGAUCGGCCACACUGGGACUGAGACACGGCCCAGACUCCUACGGGAGGCAGCAGUAGGGAAUCUUCCGCAAUGGACGAAAGUCUGACGGAGCAACGCCGCGUGAGUGAUGAAGGUUUUCGGAUCGUAAAGCUCUGUUGUUAGGGAAGAACAAGUACCGUUCGAAUAGGGCGGUACCUUGACGGUACCUAACCAGAAAGCCACGGCUAACUACGUGCCAGCAGCCGCGGUAAUACGUAGGUGGCAAGCGUUGUCCGGAAUUAUUGGGCGUAAAGGGCUCGCAGGCGGUUCCUUAAGUCUGAUGUGAAAGCCCCCGGCUCAACCGGGGAGGGUCAUUGGAAACUGGGGAACUUGAGUGCAGAAGAGGAGAGUGGAAUUCCACGUGUAGCGGUGAAAUGCGUAGAGAUGUGGAGGAACACCAGUGGCGAAGGCGACUCUCUGGUCUGUAACUGACGCUGAGGAGCGAAAGCGUGGGGAGCGAACAGGAUUAGAUACCCUGGUAGUCCACGCCGUAAACGAUGAGUGCUAAGUGUUAGGGGGUU